AUAUCAAUAAGCGGAGGAAAAGAAACUAACAAGGAUUCCCUUAGUAGCGGCGAGCGAAGUGGGAAGAGCUCAAAUUUGAAAGCUGGCGUCCUACGGGCGUCCGCAUUGUAAUCUAUAGAGGCGUUUUUCUGUGCUGGACCGUGUCCAAGUCCCUUGGAACAGGGUAUCAAAGAGGGUGACAAUCCCGUCUAUGACUCGGUGUUCGCUGUGUUUGAGCAUAUGUUCUAAGAGUCGACUAGGUUGGGAUUCCUGGUCAAAGCAGGUGGUAAACUCCAUCUAAAGCUAAAUACCGGCCGGAGACCGAUAGCGCACAAGUA
rnacentral:rRNA from 1 species